UGUUUAGUUGCCAUUUUUCUCAGCCCAAAAUGAAUUAAUCGAACGUUGCUGUCCAAAUGUCUGACAAAUUGUGCAGUGAGUAAAUUUUCUCUUUCCCUGAAUAUGCCCCUCCCACCGACACUUUCCUUUCCCCACAUUCGUCUCCCAACCUGGCGACAGAGCACCCAAAACACAGGCCAAAAAUUUCAGCAAUCAAACUAUUCGGUGUCGACUUUCACCUUCCCACAACUGAACGACUUCCCACAACAACUAUCACCGGUUCCCCUCAAGCCACAAUCCACAACGAUGCUUGAUCGACGCAGAGACGAUGACCAACAAUGGAUGAAUCCGGAAAACAGGUACACAUAUAAUAAAUUAUCCUUUCAUCUUCCACUUCCCCCGAUUUUUCUAUUGUUAAAAACCGCAGUCAGGGGAUUUCACUCACGGAACUUCCAACUUAGCGAUGGGGACGGCCUCGAAGUCCUACUCUCGCUGGAGUCCAGAAGCCACCCGAGCUUUCAUUGCUGCGUGUUAGACCGCCAUUGCAGAGGGGUAGUGAGGUCUUUGUUUUACAAAACACGAUGGGAACGAGUCGCCUCACUCUUCAACUCAGUGAUCGGCCAUAACUGGACCCGCUAGCAGCUGUGAAAUCAUUGGGAUUCAAUGAGUCGAACAUACAAGCGUCUAUCGGAACUUGUCAACAGUAGCGGGGUUGAGUAUAACGAUGCUACCGGCUGAAUCGUUGCUUCUGAAGAAUGGUGGCACAGGAAGAUUUAGGUAAUGGACUCCCAGUUUCACUUUAACUCGAUUUUGGACAGUCGAAUACAUGACUAGUGAAUGCCUUUCCAGUGGAAAAUUUGUCUAUUAGUUCACAUUUGCAUCACACAACCUAUUCUCCCCUGGACUGUGGCUUUACACUGCCGAAAAUGAACAAUGCAUUUGGCCAAAUUAAUGUUACAUCUUUUCUAAUUUUUGUUUCUACGUUAUCGUAUUGCCUUAUGUCUUUAUGCUUUGAGAUUGUUUUUACUUCCACCGAUUGCUAGAACUUGACAAUGUACUGUAUUGUAAAUGUUGAGACUCUGCAAUUUUCAUUACAGAAGUGUUGUGACUGUUCGAGUGCUACUCAUUUUAGAUUCGAGUGUUCAUUGAUUUGCUUGCCUGAUUCGAUGCUUGUGUCCUGUGUGAUAUGUCUUCAUGGUUUUUACAUGUGUUUCUUUACUGGAUUUUCAUUUCGGCAAAACCUCGUGCUAUAACAUUAUUCGCGACCAUAACAAUUACGAACUCGCCCGUUUUAAUUAAUACGAUGCAACGUGUUUCUUACACGCUUGCGAGAUUAUUUGAUACUUUGAAUAUUAAUGUCCAUAGAUUCCUGUACAUGCAAUGAAUUGCUCUUGUUGUUAACUUCAUGCUGCAUAUUACACCUCUGUAUCAGUUGUUUCUAUGUUUUGCCACAUGGCGAAUUAUGUUUCACAAUGGUAUUCUCAUUGUCAAACCUGUGCUAUGCAGAAGAACAAGGAUUAUAAAGACUUCAAGGACAAGGACGUCAACGAGAUAUACAUAAAGUACCGUAAGUUAUUUGACGACCGCUACGAUGGAGAUAAGUAUACUAUGACUCCAACGAAGUUGUACAAAACGGGCUUCAGCAUGUACGAGGAUAGUGAGCUUGAGGACACUAGGGAUGCAAUCUCGGUGGACGGAGAGGGCAGUAGUUCGAGCGAUGAGGUCGAACAGGCGGGGGUUGGUGACUGCGUGAACGUUUCGAGCACGACAAGUGGCGGGAAAAGAAAGUCGUCUAGCGGGCAGCGUAGGGCCAGGAAGAAAUAGAUGUCCGCUCGUGAAUUGUCAUUCUUAGUAGACUGCACUACCAGUGCGACGAAGGAAAUAGCGACACUAAUUCAUACAAUGAUGGCUUCAAAUGAAACUGCUUGGGCGGACUGCGUCCAAGAGCUAUUAGCGACAGGCCACCUCGAGUAACGAACACCUCUUUAUUUCUUCGCAUGCCAGCUUCUAGCCCAGAAGUGAUACCGUGACAUGCUUGCCGUCAUGAAAAAAGCAGAUGCGAAAUUUGAGUGGAUUGAGUGGAUGUUCAAUGACCGUGGGAAGUUACAAUGUAAGUGACUGUGUGCCUUUUUUUUCUUUGCCGUCUGUAUGAAAACUGUUGUAUUUUCGUUGCGUACUUUUUUACACUUGUUCAUUAUGCAUUCGAAGAUGCUAUAUGCUGUUAAAUCUAUUCACG
rnacentral:lncRNA from 1 species